GACGAACCGUGCGAACGUUGUUCGGAAUCACUGGGCUUAAAGGGCGCGUAGGCGGAUCAGUAAGUCAAGGGUGAAAUCCUCCGGCUUAACCGGAGAACAGCCCUUGAUACUGCUGGUCUCGAGGGAGAUAGGGGUCAUGGGAACUUCUGGUGGAGCGGUGAAAUGCGUUGAUAUCAGAAGGAACGCCGGUGGCGAAAGCGCAUGACUGGACCUCUUCUGACGCUGAUGCGCGAAAGCUAGGGGAGCGAACGGGGA
rnacentral:rRNA from 1 species